UUAUUAUACAUUUUACAUAUAUAUGUAUAUACAUAUGUACACUCACAGAGGUAAGUGAUUAGAGUGUUUGAGGGGAUCAGGGAAGUGCUUUUUGGGUAAGUAGAAGAGAAAAUAAAUAUGAAAUAUCUAAACAGUGGGACUCUUCACCCCCUCAGUUGGUUUAGUGGCAUUCGAUGCUUUAAAUAUUGACUUGGGAAAGGGAAUGGUGAUAUCAAUAUAUCAAUAUCAGUCUGCAUCAUCUUUUCUUUUCCUCUUUUAGUUCCUGUUUUUGAGUCAUGGUCUUCCUAUGAUGCCCUGGUACAUUCCCAGGAUACUGUGCAGUUUUUAACAACAGACUCUUGGGCUUUUCUUUUCAAAGGUUGAAAUGGUGUUAGUAUAAAUUUUACUAAAGAUGUGCUCCCACUCAGUUUUGAAUUUGGAUGUGAAGUGGGUAUCACUUUCCACCGUUCCUUGUGAGUUAAGUCUCUCAGCCCAUUGACUGUUUAGAACUUGCACACAGAAGUAAACCUGGUUUAUGGAUUCUAAGGGACGACGUCGGCAGCUCCCGAGCAUCGUGGCUGAGCUGCCUGAGAAAGAGCAAACUUGCGGCAAAGUUGAGAGUGUUUCUCUUUCGUCUUUACAAUUAGUUUUUAUGGUAAAGCAACUGGAACACUUGAAAUCUAAAACCAAACAUUACCUGUUUUCCUUUGUAGUGAGGGAAAAAAAAUAAGAUUCCAAAAGAGGGUGCCAACUUCAAAUAAAAUCCGUACAUGAUCUGCUGAUAUUUUCCUUGAGUGGCAGGGCCCAAGUCAGCAGUGAGAGAGAAUUUUGUUUUGAAAGUGUCAUCUCAAACUGCAAGGAUGUCUGUUAAACAUCAUAAUUAAGCAUGCUAAAGGAGAAACCACGUUGACAAAAUGCCCAGUUAAUCCACCCAAACAGCUCAAACCCACUCCCUGCUGAAAUGUUUAGCCUUUUUAUGAAAUUAGGCUCUCAACAGUACACAGACCUAGCCGGCAAGAUGGCCCAGAGAGCCAAGAGGCUCGCUGUCAAGGCUGACCACCUGGGUUAGAUCUCUAGAGUCUACACUGUGGAAGAAGGGAAUUGACUUCUACAAAUUGUCCUCUGACUUGCAUACGCACAGUAGCAGGCGCAUACACACAUGCCAGUGAAUAAACACACAAACGAAUGGAGAAGAGAAGAGUGCACACAGAUCAAGUGUGCCGAGCUAGAGUGCCAUGCAAGGCUGAAAGAAGUUGGGCAGACAAACAGAGGGCAUUAGGAUGACAUGAAGAAGACGUGCUAGGACCCAGGCAAAGAUCUUGCCAAUCUUGGGCUCAAAAGACAAAUUAUACUGAUUGAAAUCAGUUGCUGUCAGUCACCUGUGAUGCUUCGGAAUUACGAAAUCAAGUUGAAUCCAGGACUCUUUCCCCAGCUAGUUACUUCAAGGAGAGUGUGGCAUAUGAGCUCAAUCUACAGUCACAUUCCCUCCCACUUUGUAUAUGCAGCGAGAGCCAAACACCUCUCCAGGGACCUUUUCUGGGACAGAGGUAGAGCGCUUCUGUGAGCCUCUGCUCAGCCCAUGGUUGUGCUGCUAGCCACCUGGGGUGGGUAAAACUGGUUGAUGCUGCAGUUUUGUCUGUUGCUAUGUAUUGUAAGGCUAAGUUCAGGGCUGGGGGCAAGGCUUGGUUGCCACAGACAAGAGAGUCAGUCCUCACAUAGACAACAAGUGAUGCUAUGUGACCUUGCACCCAAGUUAUUUCCUAUAGCUGGGCAGAAUUGAGGUAGGUGGGACUUGGAGAUCCCAGGCUUGGGGUCUCAGAAGAACAUGAGGGGAGAGAGAAGAGGGUGAAGAGAGGAGAAAGAUGCCAUAGGUUAGUCAAGAAAGCAUGGCCAUGAGGGCUGGCCAAUUGGAGUUAAAAGCAGCCCAGAUGAAACAUAAGUAAGAACUCAGGGUUAUUGAUAGGAAAUAGAUUUUGAUAAUAUAGAGGGUAAAUAGCUGCCCAGCAUUAGUGCUAAUAAAGGCUUAUUAUAAAUAUAAAGGUCGUGUGUGUCUUUUAUCCGGGAAUGAAAUGGUCAAAGGUGGUGUAGAAACCCCAGAUUGGGAUUAAAUAUUUUCAACCACAGGUUGACAUUUCACUUCCCCUUGCAGAUGUUUCCAGAAUGGUAGAGGCACAGGUAUCCUCGAAGUUUCUGUGUCUAAGACCCCUGCCAAGAUAUGACAGGUUACUUUCUAUUCUUUUCCUGGAUCUUUAUGUCUUUUUUUAAAAAAAAAAUCGAGGGGUUGGGGAUUUAGCUCAGUGGUAGAGCGCUUGCCUAGCAAGCUCAAGGCCCUGGGUUCGGUCCCCAGCUCCGAAAAAAAAAUCGUUCAUAGAUUUCCCUACCCUUUGGAGGGGUAGGGAGGACAUUGGCUCCCUACCCCUUUUCUCUUCGUCUGCUUUAUAAAGACUGAGAAUGGACUGUCCUUGUCCAUUAGGCUGAGAUGUUUUACUUGGCCUUGAUCUUGGUAUUGGCCCAUCUAACAAAAACCAAAAUGAGCUAACUCAGAAUUGUAUGAAAGGAAGGAAGGCCACCGCAUGGCUAAAUACCUAACCCAGGCCACUCAGCACUUAGGGUAGCAUUAAUUCUGUUGUGACAGCUAUGUGAUCUGUAUUCCAGAGGUUUUGUUAUUUAAAGAGAUUUUUAAGUUGUUUAUCCUUUAGAUGUUUAUUUCAAUAAACUGGCUAUAGAUUCCACUAUCAGUGAAUUUACAGUUCUGAACUACCCAGAUCUAAUAGCAAUGCAACUUAGACUGUAUGAAAUGUUGUAAAUUAUGACAACACAGUGCUUUGGGGAGGUACGUAAGGGCAUCAUGGAGCCAUGUCUGUUGAAGAAUUUAAGAAGUCCCUUGGAGCAGUUUUGAUGUGAUUCUAACAAGAGAUGGAUGAGGUGAGAGUAGUUUGAGGGUAAAGAGAGAGGAAUCCAUUAAUUAAAAUCAAUUGUUUGGGCAUGUUGAUACAUGCCUUUAAUCCCAACACUUGGGAGGCAGAGGCAAGCGGAUCUCUGAGUUCCAGGACAGCCAGGGAGACACAGAGAAAUCCUGUCUCAAAAAACAAAAACAAAACAAGACAAAUUGAUUCCAUGCACAGAGCAGCAGUCUCAGUAGUAGAAGACCAUGCCUGUGGUUGACGAACA
rnacentral:sRNA from 1 species